rnacentral:rRNA from 1 species
GACGAACCGUGCGAACGUUGUUCGGAAUCACUGGGCUUAAAGGGCGCGUAGGCGGGCCAUCAAGUCCGGGGUGAAAUCUUUCGGCUCAACCGGAAAAGUGCCUUGGAUACUGGUGGUCUUGAGUGAGGUAGGGGCAUGUGGAACUUCCGGUGGAGCGGUGAAAUGCGUAGAUAUCGGAAGGAACGCCGGUGGCGAAAGCGACGUGCUGGACCUUUUCUGACGCUGAGGCGCGAAAGCCAGGGGAGCAAACGGG